rnacentral:rRNA from 1 species
AACGAACGCUGGCGGCAGGCUUAACACAUGCAAGUCGAGCGCCCCGCAAGGGGAGCGGCCGACGGGUGAGUAACGCGUGGGAACGUACCUUUUGGUUCGGAACAACUCCGGGAAACUGGAGCUAAUACCGGAUAAGCCCUAACGGGGAAAGAUUUAUCGCCGAAAGAUCGGCCCGCGUCUGAUUAGCUAGUUGGUGAGGUAACGGCUCACCAAGGCGACGAUCAGUAGCUGGUCUGAGAGGAUGAUCAGCCACACUGGGACUGAGACACGGCCCAGACUCCUACGGGAAGCAGCAGUGGGGAAUAUUGGACAAUGGGCGCAAGCCUGAUCCAGCCAUGCCGCGUGAGUGAUGAAGGCCUUAGGGUUGUAAAGCUCUUUUGUCCGGGAAGAUAAUGACUGUACCGGAAGAAUAAGCCCCGGCUAACUUCGUG